AAUGUACUCCCUCCGUCCCAAAAUUCUUGUCUUAGAUUAGUCUAGAUACGGAUGUAUCUAAUACUAAAACGUGACUUGAUACAUCCGUAUUUAGACAAAUCUAAGACAAGAAUUUUGGGAUGGAGGAGUAUCUC
rfam:Triticum aestivum genome assembly, contig: Triticum_aestivum_CS42_TGACv1_scaffold_002635_1AL